AACGAACGCUGGCGGCGCGCCUAAUACAUGCAAGUCGAGCGAGAAGACGUAGCAAUACGUUUGUAAAGCGGCGAACGGGUGAGGAAUACAUGGGUAACCUACCCUCGAGUGGGGAAUAACUAGCCGAAAGGUUAGCUAAUACCGCGUACGCUCCUUGGACUUCGGUUCAGGGAGGAAAGCGAUACCGUGGGUAUCGCGCUCUUGGAUGGGCUCAUGUCCUAUCAGCUUGUUGGUGAGGUAACGGCUCACCAAGGCUUCGACGGGUAGCUGGUCUGAGAGGACGAUCAGCCACACUGGCACUGCGACACGGGCCAGACUCCUACGGGAGGCAGCAGUAAGGAAUAUUGCGCAAUGGGCGAAAGCCUGACGCAGCGACGCCGCGUGGGGGAUGAAGGUCUUCGGAUUGUAAACCCCUUUCGGGAGGGAAGAUGGAACGAGCAAUCGUUCGGACGGUACCUCCAGAAGCAGCCACGGCUAACUUCGUGCCAGCAGCCGCCGC
rnacentral:rRNA from 1 species